rnacentral:ncRNA from 1 species
CCCGCGCCUGCAGUGGGUACGGGCAGACUAGAGUGCGGUAGGGGAGACUGGAAUUCCUGGUGUAGCGGUGGAAUGCGCAGAUAUCAGGAGGAACACCGGUGGCGAAGGCGGGUCUCUGGGCCGUUACUGACGCUGAGGAGCGAAAGCAUGGGGAGCGAACAGGAUUAGAUACCCUGGUAGUCCAUGCCGUAAACGUUGGGCACUAGGUGUGGGACCCAUUCCACGGGUUCCGUGCCGCAGCUAACGCAUUAAGUGCCCCUGGGGAGUACGGCCGCAAGGCUAAAACUCAAAGGAAUUGACGGGGGCCCGCACAAGCGGCGGAGCAUGCGGAUUAAUUCGAUGCAACGCGAAGAACCUUACCAAGGCUUGACAUACACCGGAAACGUCCAGAGAUGGGCGCCCCGCAAGGUCGGUGUACAGGUGGUGCAUGGUUGUCGUCAGCUCGUGUCGUGAGAUGUUGGGUUAAGUCCCGCAACGAGCGCAACCCUUGUCCUGUGUUGCCAGCGGGUUAUGCCGGGGACUCAUGGGAGACUGCCGGGGUCAACUCGGAGGA